rnacentral:rRNA from 1 species
UACAGAGGUGGCAAGCGUUGUUCGGAAUUACUGGGCGUAAAGGGCGCGUAGGCGGUUUCGUAAGUCCCGUGUGAAAGCCCCCGGCUCAACUGGGAAUUGCACGGGAAACUGCGAGGCUUGAGUUCGGGAGAGGGAAGCGGAAUUCCGGGUGUAGCGGUGAAAUGCGUAGAUAUCCGGAGGAACACCGGUGGCGAAGGCGGCUUCCUGGACCGACACUGACGCUGAGGCGCGAAAGCUAGGGGAGCAAACGGG